GGAAGUUAAUUUAAUCCUUGGAGUUUUAUAUGUGUACUCACUAUCUUAAAUGGUAUGUUUUUUUUUUUUUUUUGAGAUAUGGUCUCACUGUGUAGUUCAGAUUGGCCUUGAACUCACUAUAUAGCCCAGGCUGACUUCAAACUCACAGCGAUCCUCCUGCCUCAGUCUCAGAUUUGAGUUUUCUCUUUAACUUGAGUUACUUAGAAGCAUCAGUAUUUAUUCUAAUAGUUUAAAUUUGAAAUGUUCCCUAAAGGCCCUGAGUUAAAGGCUUGGCACUCAGCUUGGUGCUAUUGUGGGGGCAGGGGUGGUUAUGGAAUCGUUAAGAGAAAAAACCUUAGUGGGAGAUUUUAGAUCAUUUGGGGGCAUGUGUUUGAAGGACAUUGUUGGAUGCCAGUCUUUUCUCUCGUUUCCUAGCCAUUCAAUGAACAGGUUUCCUUUGCCAUAUCCUCCUGUCACAAUGUACUUCCUUGCCCCGGGCCCAGAAGUAACAAGACCAACUGACCAUGGACUGAAACCUCCAAAACUGAUCAAACUCAGGACCUUGUGCUUGCAAGGCAGGCAGCAGAGCCACUGAGCCAAAUCCCCAGUCCCUUCCUCUUUCCCUUUUAAGCUGUGUAUGUCAGAAACAAGAGUGUGGCUCAAUACCUGGUGGUGAAGACCAUUGGAGGGAAGUAAAUAGUUGUCAGUUAUCAGCAGUAAAUCCCGAUGUCAACAAGUUUCAAGAUGAAGUCCUACAAAACAGGAAGAGAACUUAUCAAGUAAGUAUUCAUGGGGUACCUCCUGCUUAUUUAAAAUGCUUUGUUAACUAUAGGACACUUUACAGGUAUGAGAUAGCCUCAUUACUGUGGUAACUACUAACUAGAAUCAUUAAUGCUAGUCCUAUAAAAGUAUAAAAAUCUGUACUGUCUAGCUUAGAACAGUGAUAAAACAGGUACAGAUUGGAUAAAGCUCCCAGAGAACAUAUAACAAUGUUAGGUUUAUGAACUUGCUGUAACAAUUAACAUGAGGAACCAGG
rnacentral:lncRNA from 1 species